rnacentral:rRNA from 1 species
UACGUAGGGGGGCUAGCGUUGUCCGGAAUCAUUGGGCGUAAAGAGCGUGUAGGCGGUCCGGUAAGUCCGCUGUGAAAGUCGGGGGGCUCAACCCUCGAAUGCCGGUGGAUACUGUCGGGCUAGAGUGCGGAAGAGGCGAGUGGAAUUCCUGGUGUAGCGGUGAAAUGCGCAGAUAUCAGGAAGAACACCGAUGGCGAAGGCAGCUCUCUGGGACGGUACUGACGCUGAGACGCGAAAGCGUGGGGAGCGAACAGG